rnacentral:lncRNA from 1 species
GCUCUUAACAGGUUCUUGGAAUGAAAUUCCGCGGUAGACAUUUCAUUCCAGAGACUCGAUUCAGAGUAUUGUUGGUUAACGAAUUUCGAUAAGGUAUUUUUGAUUGAUAAAUUCGUUGCUAUUUCGAACAAGGCAAAAGGAAACCCUUUCUUGCUUGGAUUCUGAACUCUAACAUCGUGGGAUUUAAUUAUAAUCGAUUAAAAUGCUCACAACAUCCUUACGUAUCUAAACUUUGGAUGCCAAUUGGUCAUGUUUAUUCAUGUACCCGCCGAAUUCAUAGCCAGGAAAAAAAAAGAAUGCUCGAAACGAGCAAAAAACAGACUGAGACCACAAUACAAGUUUUACUAGUUCCUUUAUAGCUUCGGCAAACACGUUUCUCGGGGAACGCACGAUUUGGUCCGUCGCACAUAGGAGUAUUUAACCCAAAAAAUCGAUCAAAAGUCGAAUAUUACAAAGUAUUCAUAGAAGGUAGUUUUUGCUACCUGGCAAAACGGUAGGGUCGGGGGGACAAUAAACCGCUCGACUCCCUUUUGUUCUUGCUAAAAUUCCGUUCACAAUCAGUCGUCUUUCUAACGCAAGCUUGAUCGCACGAACUUAAUACCCAGUGAAAGUGAGUUAACUUAAUUGUUAAAAAUAAGCGUGACAGUUACAUUACUCGGAAUAAAUCAUAUUUUAGUUAUGGACGGUGCAGAACAAGGGUCUUCUGGUACAAAGGUCGUGACGCGAAAUUAUGUUUUCCGAAAAUCGAGGGAAUAUACUGAACCAGAUUUCGGAAAAAAGUUGGAUUUAUUGGAGUUUGAAAUAAUUAAUGACUCUUCAUUCCCAACUGAUCAAAAAUCAUAGUUUAUUCAAACAUUUUCUCGUCUCAAGUCUGAAAUGAAGUCUAAGUGGCAGACAGCAAAGCGAACAGAAAGUGUAUUUUUGAAAAAAUACCAUGAUUGGUUACAAGGCACUCUUGAAAUACCGAAAAAAAAAUAAUAUUGAAAAAUCCCCGGGUCGGCCAAGCAAAGAGUUCGCGGAACUAACAGACUGCAGUAAGCGUCGGAAGACAUCACAUUUACGAGGCA